GGGGGAGUAGCUCAGUGGGAGAGCACUUGCCUCGUAUGCAAGAGCUCUGGGUUCCAUCCCCAGCACCACAA
rnacentral:tRNA from 1 species